rnacentral:rRNA from 1 species
CCUACGGGAGGCAGCAGUGAGGAAUAUUGGUCAAUGGGAGAGAUCCUGAACCAGCCAAGCAGCGUGAGGGAAGACGGCCCUAUGGGUUGUAAACCGCUUUUGUCGGAGGACAAACCCCGGCACGUGUCCCGUCCUGCGUGUACCCCAUGAAUAAGCAUCGGCUAACUCCGUGCCAGCAGCCGCGGUAAUACGGGGGAUCCGAGCGUUAUCCGGAUUUAUUGGGUUAAAAGGGGGCGUGGGCGGUCCGUUAAGUCGGCGGUAAAAUUCCGGGGCUCAACCCCGUCGCGCCGUUGAAACUGGCAGCCUUGAGUUGGCGAGAGGUACGCGGAAUGCGCGGUGUAGCGGUG